rnacentral:rRNA from 1 species
GAUGAACGCUAGCUACAGGCUUAACACAUGCAAGUCGAGGGGAAACGGGAAGAUAGCUUGCUAUUUUUGCCGUCGACCGGCGCACGGGUGAGUAACGCGUAUCCAACCUGCCACCUAGUGGAGGAUAGCCUUUCGAAAGAAAGGAUAAUACUCCAUGUACUCCUUUAAGGGCAUCUGCGAAGGAGGAAAGAUUAAUCGCUGGGUGAUGGGGAUGCGUCUGAUUAGGCAGUUGGCGGGGUAACGGCCCACCAAACCGACGAUCAGUAGGGGUUCUGAGAGGAAGGUCCCCCACAUUGGAACUGAGACACGGUCCAAACUCCUACGGGAGGCAGCAGUGAGGAAUAUUGGUCAAUGGACGGAAGUCUGAACCAGCCAAGUAGCGUACAGGAUGACGGCCCUAUGGGUUGUAAACUGCUUUUAUGCGGGGGUAAAGUGAGUGACGUGUCAUUCAUUGCAAGUACCGCAAGAAUAAGGACCGGCUAAUUCCGUGCCAGCAGCCGCGGUAAUACGGAAGGUCCUGGUGUUAUCCGGAUUUAUUGGGUUUAAAGGGAGCGUAGGCCGUCAGGCAAGCGUGUUGUGAAAUGUCGUGGCUCAACCAUGGACUUGCAGCGCGAACUGCCCGACUUGAGUGCGCAGAAAGCAGGCGGAAUUUGUGGUGUAGCGGUGAAAUGCUUAGAUAUCACGAAGAACCCCGAUUGCGAAGGCAGCCUGCUGUAGCGCUACUGACGCUGAAGCUCGAAAGUGCGGGUAUCGAACAGGAUUAGAUACCCUGGUAGUCCGCACGGUAAACGAUGGAUGCCCGCUGUUCGGUUUACGGACCGAGCGGCUAAGUGAAAACGUUAAGCAUCCCACCUGGGGAGUACGCCGGCAACGGUGAAACUCAA